UGAUAAAUUCAAAGAAUUUAUUUGAACUUUUCGUUUCUCUCGAUCACUGCCGUUCUGCUCUUUUACAGGACGCUGAUGAUCUCAGAGGACACCGUCGUCGUCGACCAUCUUUUCUGGCCUCUCUCUCUCUCUCUCUCUCUCUCUCUCUC